GAUGAAGAACGUAGCGAAAUGCGAUACUUGGUGUGAAUUGCAGAAUCCCGUGAACCAUCGAGUCUUUGAACGCAAGUUGCGCCCGAAGCCAUUAGGCCGAGGGCACGCCUGCCUGGGCGUCACACGUCGUUGCCCCCCCAUCUACUCCUUCGGGAUUGCGGGGGGCGGAUGAUGGCCUCCCGUGCGCCUUGUCGCGCGGUUGGCCUAAAUGCCAAGUCCUCGGCGACGCACGCCACGACAAUCGGUGGUUGCGAAACCUCGGUUGCCUGUCGUGUGCGGUCGUCGCGCAUCGAGGGCUCGAAAAAAUUGCCGGGCUUCGGCUCGACUUUCAACGCGACCCCAGGUCAGGCGGGGUUACCCGCUGAAUUUAAGCAUAUCAAUAAGCGGAGGA
rnacentral:misc_RNA from 1 species